AACGAACGCUGGCGGCAGGCUUAACACAUGCAAGUCGAACGAGCUGGGGGCUUCGGUCCCCGAGGCUAGUGGCGCACGGGUGAGUAACACGUGGGAAUAUGCCCUUUAGUACGGAAUAAACAAGGGAAACUUUGGCUAAUACCGUAUACGCCCUUCGGGGGAAAGAUUUAUCGCUAAAGGAUUAGCCCGCGUCUGGUUAGGUAGUUGGUGAGGUAAUGGCUCACCAAGCCGACGAUCAGUAGCUGGUCUGAGAGGAUGAUCAGCCACACUGGGACUGAGACACGGCCCAGAAUCCUACGCGAGGCAGCAGUGGGGAAUAUUGGACAAUGGGGGCAACCAUGAUCCAGCCAUGCCGCGUGAGUGAAGAAGGCCUUCGGGUUGUAAAGCUCUUUCGACGGGGACGAUGAUGACGGUACCCGUAUAAGAAGCCCCGGCAAACUUCGUG
rnacentral:rRNA from 1 species